rnacentral:rRNA from 1 species
UUUUAAUCCAACAUGGAGGUCGCAAACUUAUUCAUCGAUAUGAACUCUCCGAAUAAAUUACGCUGUUAUCCCUAAGGUAAGUUAAUCUUAUAAUCAAAAAUUCUGGAUCAAAAAAACAUAAAUUAAUGAAUUAUUAUAUUAAAAGUUUAAAGAAUUUUAAUGUCACCCCAACAAAACUAUAUAUUCUAAAAAUAAAUUUUAAAAACUAAAAAUAAAAAUUUAUAAAUAUAGUAAACUUCUAUAGGGUCUUCUCGUCCUAUAAAAAAAUUUUAGCUUUUUAACUAAAAAAUUAAAUUCAAUAUAAUAAAAAAAAGAAAGACUAUUUUUCAUGAAACCAUUCAUUCUAGCCUCCAAUUAAAAGACAAAUGAUUAUGCUACCUUCGUACAGUUAAAAUACCGCAGCCUUUUAAUUCUAAAAAAUCAAUGGGCAGGUAUGAUCUUAUAUUAAAAUCAAAAGACCAUGUUUUUGUUAAACAGGCG